CGACCUCGAGUGGAGGGA
rnacentral:miRNA from 1 species